UGGAACAUGGACAUCACCUCCUAUUUGCAGAGCUGUCUGUCGAUUCCCAUGUCAGAAUGGGGGCAUCUGCCAACGCCCAAAUGCUUGUUCCUGUCCAGAGGGCUGGAUGGGGCGCCUCUGUGAAGAACGUGAGUUGCUCUUCAGAUCUUACUUAGAGUCCUGACAAAUUGCCUGGAUGCUCCCACCUGAGGGGAGUUACCAGGAAAUGGUUGUACUGUUGGGAAGAAUUCAUUUGCUGUAAGUCCUUGUCCACACCAAACAGAGCACAUAUGUGUCAACAGGUUGCAGAAGAUCUAUAAUAUUAAUGACUUUGAAAAUACUGUUAUUAAGAUCCAUCUAAAGUCAUCUUCACAUGCUCCCUGGCACAAAUUUGCAAAAGUCUUCUUGAGAAGGAGCUUGUUGUAAAGUCUCCAAGCUAUCCUCUUCCCUUAACUCAGGGUCUACUAUGUGCUAUGUCAGUCAUUGCUCAGUUGGUAUAAACGUGCACCACUGCAAAACAUGUACUUUGCAGGUAAUAUUUGCAGCUCACCAUUUCCUCUUUGUUGUUAAGAAUAGUUUCUACUAAUUAAGAAAAUAAGGAAAGCUAG
rnacentral:sRNA from 1 species